rnacentral:rRNA from 1 species
GAUAAACGCUGGCGGUCUGCUUAACACAUGCAAGUCGAACGGAAUCCUUCGGGACUUAGUGGCGGACGGGUGAGUAACACGUGAGAAUCUGCACUCAGGAUGGGGACAACAGCGGGAAACUGCUGCUAAUACCCAAUGUGCCGAAAGGUAAAAGAUUUAUCGCCUGAGGAUGCGCUCGCGGCCGAUUAGUUAGUUGGUGGGGUAAUGGCCUACCAAGACGGCGAUCGGUAGCUGGUGUGAGAGGAUGAGCAGCCACACUGGGACUGAGACACGGCCCAGACUCCUACGGGAGGCAGCAGUGGGGAAUUUUCCGCAAUGGGCGCAAGCCUGACGGAGCAAGACCGCGUGGGGGAGGAAGGCUCUUGGGUUGUAAACCCCUUUUCUCAAGGAAGAACAAAAGGACGGUACUUGAUGAAUCAGCCUCGGCUAACUCCGUGCCAGCAGCCGCAGUAAAAC